GUAGAUGUAGCUUAAAUCACAUAAAGCAAGACACUGAAAAUGUCUAGAUGGACCUCACAGCCCCAUCAACA
rnacentral:tRNA from 1 species